rnacentral:lncRNA from 1 species
UUUGAUAGGGUUCGGAAUCGAACGAGAAGUGGAAUGGAAUCAGAUGUGAUGAGAGGAAUCUCGAAAUAGAAGUGGAUGAAAGAAAAGAGAAACACCACGGAAGGAAGGGAGAAGAAGAAAGUUUUCCGAUUGCUGUAAAAUUUCUUUUCAGGGUUCGGAAUGGAACGAGAAGUGGAAUGGAAUCAGAUGUAAUGAGAGGAAUCUCGAAAUAGAAGUGGAUGAAAGAAAAGAGAAACACCAUGAAAGGAAGGGAGAAGAAGAAAGUUUUCCGAUUGCUGUAAAAUUUCUUUUCAGGGUUCGGAAUGGAACGAGAAGUGGAAUGGAAUCAGAUGUAAUGAGAGGAAUCUCGAAAUAGAAGUGGAUGAAAGAAAAGAGAAACACCAUGAAAGGAAGGGAGAAGAAGAAAGUUUUCCGAUUGCUGUAAAAUUUCUUUUCAGGGUUUGGAAAGGAACGAGAAGUGGGAUGGAAUCAGAUGUAAUGAGAGGAAUCUCCAAAUACAAGUGGAUGAAAGAAAAGAGAAACACCAUGAAAGGAAGGGAGAAGAAGAAAGUUUUCCGAUUGCUGUAAAAUUUCUUUUUAGGGUUUGGAAUGGAACGAGAAGUGGAAUGGAAUCAGAUGAAUCUCGAAAUAGAAGUGGAUGAAAGAAAAGAGAAGCCCCAUGAAAGGAAGGGAAAAGAAGAAUAUUUUCCGAUAGCAGCAAAAUUUCUUUUCAGGGUUUGGAAUGGAACGAGAAGUGAAAUGGAAUCAGAUGAAUCUCGAAAUAGAAGUGGAUGAAAAAAAAGUGAAACACGAGAAAGGAAGGGAAAAGAAGAAUAUUUUCCGAUAGCAGCUAAAUUUCUUUUCAGGGUUUGGAAUGGAAC